rnacentral:lncRNA from 1 species
AUCACAAAAUCUGAUCACGCAUACCGGGCCAGCCUGCCACACAGGUGUACCCCGUCCAUGUGAGCCGCUGGAUGGCCGCAACAAACUACCACAUGAUCCACCUAUACAACUCUUGGGAUGUAUCCAAGGACUCCAUAGUCUUACCGGACAGAUACUUGCACAUUUGUGCCUCUUUCUACUCUACCUGAAGUAGCAAGAAGACGGACCCAGUCUUGGUGCUCACCAGCUGAUGGACAGAGGAUGGAAAUGUGGUACAGAUACAUCAUGGAAUUUUCCUUGGUUACAAAGAAAAUGCAAAUUACAG